AUACGUAGGUGACAAGCGUUAUCCGGAUUUACUGGGCGUAAAGGGCGUGUAGGCGGUCUUGCAAGUCAGAAGUGAAAUUCCUGAGCUCAACUCGGGCGCUGCUUCUGAAACUGCGGGACUUGAGUGCUGGAGGGGAUAGCGGAAUUCCUAGUGGAGCGGUAAAAUGCGCAGAUAUUAGGAAGAACACCGGUGGCGAAGGCGAGUAAAUGGCCAUAAACGGACGCUGAGGCGCGAAUGCGUGGGGAGCAAACAGUAUUAGAUACCCUGUUGGUCCACGCCGUAAACGAUGAAUACUAGGUGUAGGGGGUAUCGACUCCCUCUGUGCCGCAGUUAACACAAUAAGUAUUCCGCCUGGGGAGUACGGCCUCAAGGUUGAAACUCAAAGGAAUUGACGGGG
rnacentral:rRNA from 1 species